rnacentral:rRNA from 1 species
GCCCUACGGGGUGCAGCAGGCGCGAAACCUUUGCAAUAGGCGAAAGCUUGACAGGGUUACUCUGAGUGAUUUCCGUUAAGGAGAUCUUUUGGCACCUCU